GCCCGGUUAGCUCAGUUGGUAGAGAAUCAGACUUUUAAAUCUGAGAGUCGCGGGUUCGAGUCCCUCAUCGGGCG